AGACCACUUCUCUGCACGAUGCUGCUGUAACUCUCUGCUAUUUCUUACCACCACAAUUAUUUUUUUUGGGGGGGGGGGGUGCCAGGAAUUGAAUUCAGGGCCCUCGACCACAGAGCCACAUCCCCAGCCCUAUUUUGUGUUUUAUUUAGAGACAGGGUCUCACUGAGUUGUUUACCGCCUCGAUGGAUUGCUGAGGCUGGCUUUGAACUCGCGAUCCUCCAUCCUCAGCCUCCCGAGCCUCUGGGAUCACAGGAGUGGCCACCUCACCAAGCUAAAAUCAUAGAUGAAGCUACGAUUAUCUCAGAAUAAAAGGCUGUAAGAGAAAGUCCGCAAUAUUUAAUUCCUUACUUAGCAUCGUGUAGCACAGUGUGGAAAGGGAAUCUUGAAUUUCCAGAGACCCCGGGAACGUCCUGUCUGUGUCCCUCAGCAGGACAGGCGAUGGUCAUGGUCCCCAUGCUGCUGGGCUGCAGCUUCAGGUUCCUCAGUUCAUUUCAAAGUAAAAGCACCUCGAGCUCAAGGCUCCAGGUCACAGGACUAUAGCUGGGGUUAUUCUGUGGUCCUCUCUGUAGGGUUGCCAUCACUCAGAGGUCUGAGCAAUGGCCCAUUCGGAGGGCUCUGUGUCCUCACCUGUCCAUGGCUCUGUCCAGACCACGGGAAAACUCCUGUUGACUGGGCGUGGUCCCCUGAUUGCUGUCCACAGCUGUAGGUACUCCUGGCUGUGUGGACAGUGUGGACAGCUGCCGGGGCCCUUGUGGCCUGGGUGGGACCAUCAGGGAAGGGAGGGGAAUGAAUGGGCAGAGGAGUUUCACUUGUGCCCUCUUCUCCCUCACCCUCCUGUCAUUGAUUCUGCAGGGUGUCCCCUGUCUCAAGGAUCCUGGGGCAUGCCCCUGUGGUCUCCUUGGCCCCAGCCUUCCUUCAUCCCCAGACUCCACCCAAGCUUGCUGCAGGUGGUUAGACACUCAGCAGCUGAGCCCCAGAGGUGCCCGCACAUUAGCUGCAUGAGUCUGGUUUCCUGGGCCUUGAUGGUGUGUUUCCUAUCUCUGUGCAGCCACGACCUUCUUUAGAACUACGGCGCGGCCCCUCAGCUGGCCUCCCUGAGUCCCUUUGGCUCUUUUCCAGUACAUUCUCCAUGGUCAGCCAGAGCGAUUUCUCUCAGGAACAGCUGAUCACAUCAUCCUCUUGCGCAGUGCUGUUCGCGGAUCCGGGUACUUCAGGAUAAACCUCAGUACGUCCCACAUGACCCCCUAACCUGGCUGUGCGUGCCUGCUGGCUGGUGGCCCUCCCUCCGGCUGUGUGCGAGAGGCACCUGGACACCGGGGAGCUCAGCUGCACUCAGGGGCCCCGUGGAGCAGCCACCAGCGCCUAGGAGCCCGGGGGUAUAGUGGAGUUGGGGUCCUUGCCAGCAUCCUGGGUUGUGGGAGUGCCCUGGCUUCCAGCUCUGCCGCCCGCCAAGGCGUCUGGGUGUGCUCUCUGCAGAACGGCACCACGGCCGGCUUUGGGGUGGACCUCCUGUGCUCACGCCUUUACCUUCUGACCCACCCAACCUGUCGUGACUUAGCAAGAACAAAUGUGGCCAGCACAAGGUCCCAGGCAACACCCACCAUCCUCCGUGAGCGCUCGGCUUGUCGGGGGACUCUCGAGCCUCCCCACUCCUCCGCGCCCUCCCGCUCCUCUCUGCCUGCGCGUGGGCAGUGCCCACCUGCAGCAGGUGCAGCAGGAAGCAGCAGGAAGUCGAAGCCGAUCAUUAAGCUUUUCUGGAGAGAGCUUCCUGGGAAGGUGGGAGGGGACACUGGGCAGAGCUGAGGACACACGGGAGAAGGCCAGAGCUGGGGUCCCACGUCCUGAGGAGGAGCCCAGGUGGGAGUCUGGGACCUCGGGACACCCUGCAGAGCCCACUGUAGGGGAGUCAGAACAGGCUUGAGAGACUCUAAAACCAGGUGGAGAGUGCAGCUCAGCACGUCCAGAGCACCGAGCGUGGAACUCAGCCAAGCCAGCCCCUCCCUUUACAACAGAGAGAACUGAGGUUCAGGGAGCAGCUGAGAACCCCCCUUCCCCCAUCAGGGAGAAGCACCCGGCCAGGACGGGGACCCACGGAAGCACUCGUACCGCGUGCCUGGAGCAGGCCACAUGCAAGAGGGUGCGUUUGUGGCUGCUGUGGCCUGCUUGCUCCCUAGACCCUGCCUCCAGGAGUGUGCAGUGCACCUACUGCACCACUGUACAGCCAGCACCGAGGCAGAGUUGGGGAGACCCAAGAGGUCCCUCAGACAGUGUGGCCCCCUCUCUUAGCUCCCAGUAUGUGGUGGAAUGAAGGCAGGAGCGGUAUCUGGAGCAAGGCCGCGGAUGUUAGGUCCACCUUUGGACACUGGAAUGUAGAAACUGGCAUUUGAAAAGGUAGGUAAGGCCUGACUCUGCCCUAGAGGAAACCGGGUCUGGGUGUGAAGAGGCAGAGAGGGGCAAGAUGAGGACCUGUGCUGGGCUGAGGGUUUCUGGGUGUCUGGUCAGGAGGAAGGAGGCCCUAUAACCUCCAUGUCUGCAGGUCAAGGCUCACUGAGCCUUCAGCCCAGGCCCAGGGAACCAGUGUCCUCCCUCGCUGGCUGCAGGCCACACAGAGCAUGAGUCGGGACAGAGUCCAGCAGGCCUUUGCCACACCCAGGCCCGCGCACUUCCCAAGGGAAUCAAGGACAGAGGGGACCCUGAACCUCAGUCCUGGCCAGCCCAGCCGUGCUGCACCACAGUGCCCUCUUCUGGCCAUCCAGGGAAGGUCGUCUCAGGCCCUGUGGCCAGAGGUGGGAGCACCCCAGGCUCUGGGUGGGCCCCGGGGAGGGAGCAGGUAGGUAUGGGCAGCACAGGACCCAGGCCAUGGGCUGGAGCUGACCUGGGUAGGCAGGGGGAGCGGGAGCUUCCAGCAGGUGGUCCUGACUGUGGCGGCAGCUCUGCAGUCAGUCUGCAGGAGGUGCUCUGCAGGGAAGGGGCGGAGGCCGGCCUCCACGGGGCGCCUCAGGAGCGGCUCUGCGCUGUCCUGGCCAGGGCCCUCUUUUUCUGACAAGGAAUCCUUUGAUGUCCAAUGGCUACUUCCCCACAGGUCGGAGCAGCCCGCCUGGGCCCAGGGUUCAGUCCUCUGCGCUUCCAGAAGCGGAUUUCACAGGGAUUAACUUCAGACGCGGCUCUGGUGCUUCUCUUUACUCUGGUAGCCCUGGCCUUGCGGGGAAUGUGGAGGAGGUAGAGAAACACAGGGGCAAAGCCAGAAAUUAUUCUCAAGCCACCCUCCCAGCAAAAUCCCAUCAGCGCUGGGGUGCGGCUCCUCCCCAAGCUCAGGCCUAGCUUGGGUGCCACUUUGCCCACAGUGUUCUCUUUUGCUGCUUAAUGCGACAUUACAGGAGUGUUAUGAAAUGUUUUAUGAACACUCCGUGUGUGUGUGUGUGUGUGUGUGUGUGGUGCUGGGGAGGGUCCCAGGGCACUGUGCAGGCCAGGCAAGUGCUCCACCACUGAGCCACACCUGAGUGGCUGUACACAGUCCAUCCUGUGGCUGGCCUGUCACAGUUAUGGUCUUUGCUGGACAUUUGGAGGUUUCUCAGCUCACUGUUGCAUGCUUGAUGGUCUGGAUCUGGAAGGUCUCUCGAGGGUCUGCAGGAUCCGCAGUAACGUCCCUCAGUACAGCUUUGAGGAGAUGGCUGGCUCUCGAGGUCUCUGACCUCAUGGGUGGGUGCAUCCAUUUGGUGAAUUAAUGAUUUGAAUGGAUUAUUGGGAGGCGGAGCCUGGUUAGAGGAAGCAAGUCCCUGGAGGUGUGCCCACGGAGGCCCACCUGGCCUGGGCACUGCCUCCUCCCUCCCUGCCCCUCUCUCUCAGCUGCUGUGAGCCAGCUGCGUCCUCCACACCACACCUCCCACCACGAGGUUCCACCUCACCUCAGGCCCGCAGCAAAGGAGCCAGGAGACCAUGGACUGACCCCCUGAAAUCAGGAGCCAAAAUGACCUUUUUGUCCUCUAAGUUGUUCUCGUCAGCUGCUGUGGUCACAGUGAUGCGAAGCUGACAACAUGACGCUCUUGGAAAGAGCCAGUGAGUGGAUCUUGGUCUCUGGGAUGGAGUCCCGGGAGGGCCAUCUGAGGUGGAAGGAGCCACAGUCCCAAGGUCCUGCCGGGUGGACGGGCAGCCGCAGCUUCACCUCCGCAGGUGUGAAUGUGCCAGUUCUCCUGCUGGACCUCCAACCGCUAGUGGGUGGGCACAGACCUUUUUUGGCAUUUGUUUGGCUGCCGAGGCAGUUGGACAUCGCCCGCAGGUUUGGCUGAAGACUCAAAGGGCCACGAGCGGCUCUUUCCUCUGCCCACAGAAGAGCGAUUCCAGAAAUAAGACCAGAGAGGGGGAAACUGGGCCAAAGAUCCCUUUGAUUCUUUAUAAAGAUGAAGGGGGAGGAUGCAGCCUCCGGGAGAGCCAGAUGGGGCUGUGAGUGAAUCAGGGAUUCAGCCGCACCCCCCUCCCAGUCCCAGCAGAGCUCCUUGGACUGACAGCCAGAUGGCCUGCCGGGCGGACUUUUCUGGAGGUGGACAUUGCCUGGACUUAGCAUGGAAAGCUGGGGGUGGGGGGGUGUCGGAGGUGUCACUCUAUAGCCAUCGUCUGGUCCCCUAAAGGAAAAAGGGGGCCUGAGCUGAGGAUCCGGUUAUUUUCUGAAAUGCCCCAGUCGGAGGACAAGGUGCCUCCCUGCUGCCUUCGCCAGUCGCCUGUGUUUCCUCCUAUUAAUGUUAAAUUCUUUCUAUGGGGAUUGACCAGCAACAGUGAUUCAUUAAAGGUCUCUUUAAAAAUCAUCUUUGCCUUUUCCUCUUGUUUACCAUGUUCUUGAAUUUUGGAAGUUUCGAUGGGAACUUAGCCAAGUUUACCAUUUUUAUGCCGUUUCCAUCCUGAGAAUCAGCACUAUGACAUCGUCUCCAGGUGUUUGAGUGAGUGGCUCGUGCCCCACGCUCUGGGGACACCUGCGUGUGCACUGUCAUGAGGUCCUCC
rnacentral:lncRNA from 1 species